rfam:Gossypium hirsutum cultivar TM-1 unplaced genomic scaffold scaffold278.1, whole genome shotgun sequence
AAUCCAUGGUGUGGGCAUUUUUAAAUCAACAUUUUGAAAUGUUCCCAUGCCUCAUAGAAAAUUUCUCCCUCCAUCUCUCUAAAAACAUCAAUCUCUUUUCUUAAUU